GCAGCAUAUUUUGAAGUUACUGUCUAUUUUCAAAGGUUUAAUUAUUUUAUUAAAAAAAGUAAUUUAAAAUUUAUAAUGUAUUAGUAUAUUUUAUAGAAUUUAUAUAAAUAAAAGAACUGUAAAGGAGUGUUUGAAAUAUAUUAAAAUAUAAUUUUGUAAAAGUAGAUUAGUAUUGUACCUUUUGUAUCAGGGUUUAUUAAUAUAAUACAUUUAAUUAAUUUAUUCCCGAAUAAAAAAGAGUUAAAAUAUAUAGUUUUAUUAUGUAGAAAAAUAAUAAGUAAAUAUAUUUUAGGUGUGAAAUGUAAGUCGGGUUUUUAGAUAUCUGGUUGUUUAAAAAGUAGAUUUAAUCUAGUCUUGUAUUUAGUAUAUUUCAAUUAGUAAAUUGUAAAAAGUAUAAGAUAAAAAGUAAGGGGGAUAAGCUCUUUAUUUUAGGUAAAUAAAGUUUUGAAAUAAUAUUUAUAGGCUUGAAAUUAGCCAUUUAGAAUAAUUUGUAAUAAAUAAUAUAGUUAUGGUAAUAUUUAAAUUUUAUUGCUAUGUAAUUAAAUAAUUUAAUUUAAUAAAAAAAUUAAAGUUAUAAUGAUAAAAUUAGUAAAUUGUAAAAGUUUAAAUAAGGAAUUCGGCAAAUAUAUUGUUUGACUGUUUAACAAAAACAUAGCCUCUUGAUGAAAUAGGAGGUAUAGUCUGCCCACUGAAUAAUUGAAGGGCCGCGGUAUUUUGACCGUGCAAAGGUAGCAUAAUCAUUAGUCUUUUAAUUGGAGGCUGGCAUGAAGGGCUGCACAUAACAAAAUCUGUCUCAUUUAAAUAAGUAAAUUUAAUUUUUAAGUGAAAAAGCUUAAAUAUAUUAAGGGGACGAGAAGACCCUAUAGAGCUUAAUUAAUAUAAUAAUUAUAUCUUUAGGGGGAGUUAAGUAUGAUUGUUGUAUUAAAUUUAUUGGGGUGAUAAGAAAAUAGUUAAACUUUUCUAGUAAUAACAAUUUUAAUUGGUUGUAUGAUCCUUUAUUAUGGAUUAUAAGAUUAAGUUACCUUAGGGAUAACAGCGUAAUUUUUUUGGAGAGUUCUUAUCGAUAAAAAAGUUUGCGACCUCGAUGUUGGACUAAGAAUAGGAUUGGGGGCAGUUUCUCAAUAACCUAGGUCUGUUCGACCUUUAAAUUCUUACAUGAUCUGAGUUCAGACCGGCGUGAGCCAGGUCGGUUUCUAUCUUUUAAAUAUUAGACUUUUUUAGUACGAAAGGACCAAGAAGUCGGGGAAGCCUCAUAUUAAAGAGUAUGAUUAA
rnacentral:rRNA from 1 species